rnacentral:rRNA from 1 species
GACGAACACUGGCGGCGUGCCUAAUACAUGCAAGUAGAACGCUGAAGAGAGGAGCUUGCUCUUCUUGGAUGAGUUGCGAACGGGUGAGUAACGCGUAGGUAACCUGCCUGGUAGCGGGGGAUAACUAUUGGAAACGAUAGCUAAUACCGCAUAAAAUGGAUUAUCGCAUGAUAAUCCAUUGAAAGGUGCAAAUGCAUCACUACCAGAUGGACCUGCGUUGUAUUAGCUAGUUGGUGGGGUAACGGCUCACCAAGGCGACGAUACAUAGCCGACCUGAGAGGGUGAUCGGCCACACUGGGACUGAGACACGGCCCAGACUCCUACGGGAGGCAGCAGUAGGGAAUCUUCGGCAAUGGGGGGAACCCUGACCGAGCAACGCCGCGUGAGUGAAGAAGGUUUUCGGAUCGUAAAGCUCUGUUGUUAAGGAAGAACGGGAGUAGGAGUGGAAAGCCUACUUUGUGACGGUACUUAACCAGAAAGGGACGGCUAACUACGUGCCAGCAGCCGCGGUAAUACGUAGGUCCCGAGCGUUACCCGGAUUUAUUGGGCGUAAAGCGAGCGCAGGCGGUUAGAUAAGUCUGGAGUAAAAGGCUAUGGCUCAACCAUAGUGUGCUCUGGAAACUGUUUAACUUGAGUGCAGAAGGGGAGAGUGGAAUUCCAUGUGUAGCGGUGAGAUGCGUAGAUAUAUGGAGGAACACCGGUGGCGAAAGCGGCUCUCUGGUCUGUAACUGACGCUGAGGCUCGAAAGCGUGGGGAGCGAACAGG